UGGGUAGUCCGUACGAGCGCACCUUGUCCCUAGUUGCCAGCACUUCGGGUGGGAACUCUAGGGAGACUGCCGGUGAUAAACCGGAGGAAGGUGGGGAUGACGUCAAGUCAUCAUGGCCCUUAUGGGGAGGGCUACACACGUGCUACAAUGGCCGGUACAGAGGGCUGCAAAGCCGCGAGGUGGAGCGAAUCUCAGAAAACCGGUCGUAGUCCGGAUUGCAGUCUGCAACUCGACUGCAUGAAGCCGGAAUCGCUAGUAAUCGCGGAUCAGAACGCCGCGGUGAAUACGUUCCCGGGCCUUGUACACACCGCCCGUCACACCAUGGGAGUGGGCUGUACCAGAAGUAGGUAGUCUAACCUUCGGGAGGACGCUUACCACGGUGUGGUUCAUGACUGGGGUGAAGUCGUAACAAGGUAGCCCUAGGGGAACCUGGGGCUGGAUCACCUCCUUU
rnacentral:rRNA from 1 species